ensembl:lncRNA
AUGAAGCUUUCAAAGCCGUAUGUCAAAGACACUCGAGCCAGUGAAGGCAGUGGGCGUGCAGGCAGCUGCGGCAGCCCGGAGAUCCCACCUUUCUCCCGCUCUCCUCUGUACACUGCCGUUAACACGCUGGCAGUGCUGGCGAUCCGGCUGCAGCUGCUGCUGCUACUGCUGGUCAGUAUUUACCACCAGACAGUCGUUUAUCUCCCGCGUUCAGCUUAUUGUUUUUAUUUCCGGGAAGAAAACGCAAAAAAAAAAAAAAAAAAAAAAAAAAAAAAAAAAAAAAAAAAAAAAAAACCCCCCCCCCCCCCCCCCCCCCCCCCCCCCCCCCCCCCCCCCCCCCCCCCCCCCCCCCCCCCCAAAGUACCUUCGGCCAUUUUCUUGACACCUAGAGCUGCAGGUUUGUCCGUGCUCGGACUUUCUUGGGGAGCUGAAGCGUUGCUGAUCUUUCCCUGAGCCCAGUAACUGCAAAACCCACAGCAAAGUAGGUCGUGGGUCCCAUGGGCAGAGCCCCUGGCUCCUUUUCCCGUGCUUGUCCCUCUGAUAGUGGCCCUGUGCUACCCCGGGACACGAUUAACCCUUCCCGUGGCCCUGGAACUGUCACCGAGGGCUGCGCUCGCUGAGUCCCUCCGUUUCGUGCCGCCUGGCCGGCACGGGGGACGAGCUUCGCCCUAGGGCGGCCCGGGGGACAGGUGGGAUGAGUACCCGCGGAGGGGCUGUGGCAGAGCCGGCACAGUUCUGGCGCUGUGUUGGGACAGUUCACGACAGCUCACUGGGAAAGUCUGGGACGGCGCUGGACAGUCUGUGACUGUGGUCGGGACAGCUGGGGCGCUGCUCGGAUAGUCGGGUACAGUACUGGAACAGUUGGGGUAGUGCUGGGAUAUCAUGGAGCGGUGCUGGGACUAAGCUGGGUCACACUGGAACUGCCCUGGCACCAUUCGAGACAGUGCUGGAGCAUCUGAGGCAGUGCUGGUACAGACUGGAGCUGCCUUGGGACAGUCCUGGCACAGACUGGAACAGUUCGGACGGUGCUGGUACCUCCUGGGCCGGAGCCGGGACAGCCGGAGAGGGCAGCGCCGGGCCGGGCAGGACAGGACGUGCGGGGAGGAGGGAGCUGCCUGUGGCCCCGCCGCCACUCGGCCGAGCCCCCCCCCCCCCCCCCCCCCCCCCCCCCCCGCCGCCACUCGGCCGAGCCCCGGCCUGGGUUUGGCCGCUCGCACGGAGACCGCCCGGGACACUCGCGGCUCGGCCCGGCUCGGCCUCUCUGCGGCGGCGGCAGAGGGUCCGUGCGGGAAGGGCUGGCCUGCAGAGCCGGCCCCGGGCUCCCCUCGGGCUCUCCGGUAACGCGAGGCUGCCGAGAUGCGGCGUUCAAAAAGUGUCCGCAUCCCGCAUCUCUUCCCUGUAAAAACAGAUGUGAAAGCAGCCCAAAGCUCGAAAAGGCUGUUGAUGAAUUCAGUCCCUUCUGGCUUCUGUACAUCUGCACCGAUACACCUUGUGGUUUCUCCCCUCGUUCGAUUUUUCUCUUGGCUCCCCCCUUGCAGACCCCGAGCCUCCGCCCCCGCCUCCGGGCCGCCCGUGCGGGUCACCCGGGGCCACUUCCCCUCCAGCGACACUCCUCUACUGAAAUUGCAAAUGGUCCGCCCUCUCAAAAGCUAGUGACUCUGAAAAGGUGUCUUCUUCAUUACUUUUGCUUAGAGCUGUAAAAUGCAGGUUGUUGGUUUAUUUUUUUCUUGGCCAUAAUAAUUUAGUGGAUCAAAUUCAUUAAAGAGGUUUGCGUUCUACAAUCCCGUGGGGCCAUUUUAAUCGAUGGUGAAAUGUUAUUUGACUUGGCAGUGUAGCAGUGGGGAUUUGACUCAUCAAGAUGUAAAUUAAGAGUAAACAGAGAAAAAAUGUUUUCCUGCAUACAUCUGAAUGUACAUUUCCUCCUUUUAAUGGAUUAAUAUUACUUCUCAGUCAUAAAUUAAUAAGUGUUAUAGAGUGAACUGAAGGAAGAGUAACCAAAAUGAUUAGUGUAUUAAAUGGCUAAUGUAUAGAGAAACUUUCAAUAUCUCUAAUGUAUCUGCAUAGAUAGAAAUGAAAGUAUUUGGGUGAUGUAAUGUGUGUACUUGUGGCUUCAGAGAUUUGCAAUGUGCAAAUAUAAUAGGACUGCUUCUCUGAAGUGCUCACUUGUACUAGCAAUGCACAGUGCUUCAGGAUGAUGCUAAGAGCUGGUCUAGAAUUCAAACUACUUUUGAAUUUUUGCUUCAAGGUAUGCCAACUCCAGAGAGAAAUGAGGUUUCAGCAGUUUCACAUGUCUGGCCUGUUGUAUUACCUGACUGUACAUGGUCCAAUGUGCAACUGUGUAUUUAUCACUCUCCUGAGAGUCCAGAUUUU